ensembl:snRNA U6 U6 spliceosomal RNA
GAAAGAACGCCCAUUCACAACUGCCACUGAUACACUGAAGAUUAGCAUGGCCCCUGUGCAAGGAUGACAUGCAAAUUCAUAAAGUGCUCCAUAUUUUU